GACGGAGGAUGCAAGUGUUAUCCGGAAUCACUGGGCGUAAAGCGUCUGUAGGUGGUUUAAAAAGUCUACUGUUAAAAAUUGAAGCUUAACUUCAAAGGUGCCGUAGAAACUUUUAAACUUGAGGAUGGUAGGGGUAGAGGGAAUUUCCAGUGGAGCGGUAAAAUGCGUAGAUCUUGGAAAGACCACCAAUGGCGAAGGCACUCUACUGGGCCAUGACUGACACUAAGAGACGAAAGCUAGGGGAGCAAAUGGG
rnacentral:rRNA from 1 species